UUUUACCACAAAUAAACCGACACACCCCUUCUCCAUAUCUUUCUUUAUCCUCAUCCAUUACCCUUACUCCUUCAUUUUCAAACACAAAAACAAAAUCAGCUACCUUACUCCUUUCUCCCUCACUCACGGCUGACCCACGAACACCACCAUCAACCGGCAGCCCAGCCACGAGCUCCACCACCAACAGCAACCACUUCUCCUCCUUCCUUUAUUGUUGUUCAUCAAGAUUGAAAGUUGAAGGGUCCUCCAAUGGUGAUUGAGGGUCUAUCUCUUACAGGGGGUGGAUCCACUUUCAGGUUGCCAUCUUUAGUGCAGAUGGAUGUGCUGCUCAUUUAUGUGUCAUGUGUUGCGAUAGCGAGGACAUCGUUUUCGAAAGGUUAACUUAUAAUGAUAUUUUGACAAAUCAUGUCUUUGUAUAAAAAAAAUGGAUAUUUUAUAAUGUAUUAAUUUAGUUUAUAACUGGGUUGUAAGUAAUUGUAUUACAGUUAUAUAAUAUUUUUAAAUACUCUGAUAUUGGUUGCUGUGGUUGUCGAACCACAGGUCGGAUUCAGCCCACACUUCUAUAAGUCUUCCGCUGUGCUUUGUAGACAAUAAAUAUUUAUUGUUUACGCUGGUUUGGGCUGUUUCAAUUGGUAUUAGAGCCUAGUUGUUUCUGGAGUACUCGAAUCCUCAUAUUCGAGUACAAAACAUUGGAAAAAAAAAUGAAUUUCGAAAAUUCGAUAGAGCUCGGUAGUCGUGUCUUAGGAUGUAUCCUCUGAGAAUCGGAUAGUAUUAAUGUGACUAUGUGUUAUAUGUGUGAUAUGUAACGUGCUUACGUGCUAAGGAAAUCUUGAAGUUUCCUUACGUGUUGUGAAUCCCCUUUUAGUACGAGUCAUGCGAAGGUCAAGAGUU